UACGGAGGGUGCGAGCGUUAUCCGGAAUCAUUGGGUUUAAAGGGUCCGUAGGCGGGAGAAUCAGUCAGUGGUGAAAGUCUGUGGCUUAACCAUAGAAUUGCCAUUGAAACUGUUUUCCUUGAGUCAUUAUGAAGUGGUUAGAACAUGUAGUGUAGCGGUGAAAUGCAUAGAUAUUACAUAGAAUACCGAUUGCGAAGGCAGAUCACUAAUAAUGUACUGACGCUGAGGGACGAAAGCGUAGGUAGCGAACAGG
rnacentral:misc_RNA from 1 species